rnacentral:rRNA from 1 species
CCUACGGGUGGCAGCAGUGAGGAAUAUUGGUCAAUGGGCGCGAGCCUGAACCAGCCAAGUAGCGUGAAGGAUGACUGCCCUACGGGGUGUAAACUUCUGUUAUAAAGGAAUAAAGUGAGGCACGUGGGCCUUUUUGUAUGUACUUUAUGAAUAAGGAUCGGCUAACUCCGUGCCAGAAGCCGCGGUAAUACGGAGGAUCCGAGCGUUAUCCGGAUUGAUUGGGUUUAAAGGGAGCGUAGAUGGGUUGUUAAGUCAGUUGGUAAAGUUUGCGGCUCAACCGUAAAAUUGCAAUUGAUACUGGCAGUCUUGAGUACAGUUGAGGUAGGCGGCAUUCGUGUUGUAGCGGU